AGCUUCUCCCAGCCUGCCUGAGGUUUUGUCAAUGGUUUCGGUAAGCGUUUCAGAGGCAGGAAGCAUCCGUAUCUACCUGAAAAUGAAACUGUCAGUAACUAGAGCGAGACUGAUAUUAGGGUCUUAGAGAUGAGAAGGCGACAGAGUAAAACUAUUCUUUAUAUGCCUCUGUGGGUGCAGCGCCUCAAUCACAGGCCGCAGGAAGCUGAUGAAGCAAUUAAGACAGACCAAACCCUCACAUGCAGUCAAGACCUUCGGACUGUGCAAUUCAAAUACGUUUCAUAAGAGAUGCAUUUUGACAUCCGGGACAAAAACCUUCUCCAGAGUGCUAAGGACCUCAGACUGGGCCG